GACGAACGCUGGCGGCGUGCUUAACACAUGCAAGUCGAACGGAAAGGCCCUGCUUUUUUGUGGUGCUCGAGUGGCUAACGGAUGGGUAACACGUGAGUAACCUGCCCUUGACUUUGGGGUAACUUCCAGUAACUGGGGCUAAUACCUGAUGGGUGCGCCUGCUGCAUGGUGUGGGGUGGAAAUUUUCGGCGGUUGGGGCUUGACUCGCGGCUUAUCAGCUUGGGGGUGGGGUAGUGGCUUACCAAGGCUUUGACGGGUCGCCGGCCUGAGAGGGUGACCGGCCACAUUGGGACUGAGAUGCGGCCCAGACUCAUACGGGAGGAAGGAGUGGGGAACAGUGCACACUGGGCGGCAGCCUGAAGCAGCACCGCCGCGUGCGGGAUGACGGCCUUCGGGUUGUAAACCGCUUUCGCCUGUGAGGAAGAGUGAGUGACGGUAAUGGGUAAAGAAGCACCGGCUAACUACGUG
rnacentral:rRNA from 1 species